GACGAACGCUGGCGGCGUGCCUAAUACAUGCAAGUAGAACGCUGAAGGAGGAGCUUGCUUCUCCGGAUGAGUUGCGAACGGGUGAGUAACGCGUAGGUAACCUGCCUGGUAGCGGGGGAUAACUAUUGGAAACGAUAGCUAAUACCGCAUAACAGUAGAUGUUGCAUGACAUUUGCUUAAAAGGUGCAAUUGCAUCACUACCAGAUGGACCUGCGUUGUAUUAGCUAGUUGGUGAGGUAACGGCUCACCAAGGCGACGAUACAUAGCCGACCUGAGAGGGUGAUCGGCCACACUGGGACUGAGACACGGCCCAGACUCCUACGGGAGGCAGCAGUAGGGAAUCUUCGGCAAUGGACGGAAGUCUGACCGAGCAACGCCGCGUGAGUGAAGAAGGUUUUCGGAUCGUAAAGCUCUGUUGUAAGAGAAGAACGAGUGUGAGAGUGGAAAGUUCACACUGUGACGGUAUCUGACCAGAAAGGGACGGCUAACUACGUG
rnacentral:rRNA from 1 species